UGGGGAAUAUUGGACAAUGGGGGAAACCCUGAUCCAGCCAUGCCGCGUGAGUGAAGAAGGCCUUCGGGUUGUAAAGCUCUUUCGACGGGGAAGAUGAUGACGGUACCCGUAUAAGAAGCCCCGGCUAACUUCGUGCCAGCAGCCGCGGUAAUACGAAGGGGGCUAGCGUUGUUCGGAAUUACUGGGCGUAAAGCGCGCGUAGGCGGUGAUCUUUGUCAGAGGUGAAAGCCCGGGGCUCAACUCCGGAAUUGCCUUUGAAACGGGAUCGCUAGAGUCCGAGAGAGGAUGGCGGAAUUCCUAGUGUAGAGGUGAAAUUCGUAGAUAUUAGGAAGAACACCGGUGGCGAAGGCGGCCAUCUGGCUCGGUACUGACGCUCAGGCGCGAAAGCGUGGGGAGCAAACAGG
rnacentral:rRNA from 1 species